UGAAGGCGCUUCCCUUCCUUGACUUUUUGGGUUUGGCUCCCGCUUUGAUUUGAGCCAGAGGCACCACAGAUAAUUACAAAGCCGUGUAAGGCUGCUUAAACUCAAAAUAAUCUGAAUUGACUUCUUCUUCUGCCAAUCUUGCUUUUUCUUCUUUAAAGUUAACUGGGAAAAUAAUUUGUGAGCUACAGAGCCACUAAAGCAACACACCAGUUACUCUGUAUUCCUUCUCUUCGCUAGACUCAUAUAGCUAAGGACGUGGUGGGUAAGUCUUGUUGAUUCUGCCUUCAUCAUGUUUUCAUUUUUGUCUCUUCUCACUUAGUCCUAGGCUCUCUCAUUUCUUGCUUGGACUUUGGAAGUUACUUUCUUUAAGUCUGUCAUUCUUCAUACCCCCAAAUCACCCUACUGCCACUGCUACAAUGACCUUUGAAGAUGCUUGUCCAGUUAUUAUAUUUUGCUGCUUAGAGUCUUGUUUGCUCCAUUUUCUCUUAGUUUACCUUCUAUGUGCUGCGUUAUAAGCCUUUGAGGACCCAGACUUUACCUAUUUCCUUGGUCUCUGUUGCUGCUGUUCUCUGUUGGAACCCCUUGUUCUGUUGAUGUUCCUUCAAUAAGCCAUUCUACUUGGCCUAUGGGCCUUUGUCCACAUUGUUCUUGUAUCUUCAGUGCCUUUACCCAGGACUGUCUGUCUGCUCAGCUCAAGUAGUCCCUUCUCUAUAUCCUUCUUUACCCUGUUUCCCAUAGCAUUGGUUACAUUAGUUCUCCUACUUUAUAAGCCAUUUCUUAUGUUCCCUGCAACUAUGUAAUGUAAGCACAGGCAAAAAAACCCAUCUUAUUGAACUCGUAAAAAUUACAUGUAUAUUGGUGGAGGGUGGGGAAAUAGAUAGAGAAACAUUUUGUUUUAACUUAAAUGAUUUUGGUACAUUUAUAUCCUAGUAUUUUGGUUUAGGGCCAAAAGAGAAAGAGAGAGAGUGUGUGUGUAUGUGUGUCUCUCUGUGUGUGUGAUUUCUACUGAUUAGAGCUCCAGGUCAAGCUUACUCUGAGUUUGGGCUUGCAAUGUAACGGACAAAUAACUAUAUACUUACAGAACGUGAUAGAAACUGUAAGAAUAUUGUGAGAAAAGAAUUAUAAGAGCCCUGAGGAGAGCCACACUCCUGUAUUUGCUGACUGUUACGCCGUUUUUAGUUUUUGACUCUUUCUUGGUAAUACUGUCUGCUAUUUGGAAAGUUUUUUUGAAAGUUCCACUUUAUUUUAUUUUUUCGGAAGCUGUCAGCAGUGGUGCUUCCAGAAUAAGAUAUUUUGUGCAUAUUGGCCCUUUUGUUUAAUUUGUUUUUAUCUUGCUGGCAAAGGAUCCAAAAGUAUUUUAUAGAGUAUGAGAUUAAAAUAAUGAGAGGAUGUUUGCAGGCUGAUAUAACCAAUCUUCAGAAUGCCAAGCAGUCGGUCUUUCAACUUUGCGGGGUCUAGAAAUCUGUCUUAUUUUCUCUAGACACCUGCUUUUCAUUGACCAGGAACCUUGAUCUUCAGAAUUUGUUCUGAAAAUGAUAGAUGGUGGGAAAAACGUAUUUCUGGACAUUAAUGAAUUGCCCUGAUAGAUUUCCGUAAAUAGGUUUUGGAACUGAAUAUUGCGUUGAUUAUUCAGAUUUCUUUCGGAUUUUUCACUGGCAGAAGAGAAACUAAUCUGAUCAGUAAUAAUAAAAAAAAAGAAAACAAUGCAAUAUGGUAAAACUCUGACAUUUCAAAAGUUCAGUUGUCUUUGGCUAAAUUAUGAGGUAUGACUAUUUGAGCUUUACAUUUAUUAACAAAAGUGGUCUUUAGUUGGGGUGUUUUUAUGCUUUUUUGGUCAGGGUUUUUAAGAAGUUCUGCAUGGCUUUGUAUUCAGAAGGCAUUCUUUUAUGAAAGUUUCACUAGCAUUAUCUAAGCUUAAUAUUCUGGGAUGUACUUUAUUGCCAGUGAUGAAAGGACAAAAGUCAGCAGAAAUUACUUACGUAUUUGUUAGCAUUUGAAACAUCUUAGCCUUUUAAUAAGAACUAUCACAGCCAGGCACAGUGGCUCAUGUCUGUAAUCCCAGCGCCUUGGGAAGCUGAGAUAGGAGGAUGGGGGAUGGCUCGAGGCCAGGAAUUCCAGGCUAGCUUGGGCAACAUAGCCAGACUCCAUCUCAAAAAAAAAAAAAAAAAAAAAAAAAAAAA
rnacentral:lncRNA from 1 species